rnacentral:rRNA from 1 species
UACGUAGGGUGUGAGCGUUAAUCGGAAUUACUGGGCGUAAAGCGUGCGCAGGCGGUUUUGUAAGCCAGAUGUGAAAUCCCCGGGCUUAACCUGGGAAUGGCAUUUGGGACUGCAAGGCUCGAGUGCGGCAGAGGAGACUGGAAUUCCUGGUGUAGCAGUGAAAUGCGUAGAUAUCAGGAGGAACACCGAUGGCGAAGGCAGGUCUCUGGGCUGACACUGACGCUCAUGCACGAAAGCGUGGGGAGCAAACAGG